CAGUCGCCACGGGAAUACGAAGGGGGCUAGCGUUGUUCGGAUUUACUGGGCGUAAAGCGCACGUAGGCGGACUUUUAAGUCAGGGGUGAAAUCCCGGGGCUCAACCCCGGAACUGCCUUUGAUACUGGAAGUCUUGAGUAUGGUAGAGGUGAGUGGAAUUCCGAGUGUAGAGGUGAAAUUCGUAGAUAUUCGGAGGAACACCAGUGGCGAAGGCGGCUCACUGGACCAUUACUGACGCUGAGGUGCGAAAGCGUGGGGAGCAAACAGGAUUAGAUACCCCCGUAGUCCCUGUCUCUUAUAC
rnacentral:rRNA from 1 species